AAAGUUUCCUUCGGGAGAUGAGUAGAGUGGCGCACGGGUGAGUAACACGUAGGUAAUCUACCUUCGGGUGGGGAAUAACCCAGGGAAACUUGGGCUAACACCGCAUAAUGCAGCGGCACCACAUGGUGACAGUUGUUAAAGCGGGGGAUUUUAGGACCUCGCGCCUGAAGAGGAGCCUGCGGCAGAUUAGCUUGUUGGUAAGGUAACGGCUUACCAAGGCGACGAUCUGUAGCCGGCCUGAGAGGGCGGUCGGCCACACUGACACUGACAUACGGGUCAGACUCCUACGGGAGGCAGCAGUCGGGAAUUUUGGGCAAUGGGCGAAAGCCUGACCCAGCAACGCCGCGUGAAGGAUGAAAUCCCUCGGGAUGUAAACUUCGCAAGAAUAGGAAGAAUUAGUAGGGGUUAAUACCCCCUAUGAUGACGGUACUAUUUGUAAGCUCCGGCUAACUCCGUGCCAGCAGCCGCGGUAAUACGGGGGGAGCAAGCGUUGUUCGGAUUUACUGGGCGUAAAGGGCGCGUAGGCGGUCAGCACAAGUCAGUUGUGAAAUCUCCGGGCUUAACUCGGAAAGGUCAACUGAUACUGUGCGACUAGAGUGCGGAAGGGGCAACUGGAAUUCUCGGUGUAGCGGUGAAAUGCGUAGAUAUCGAGAGGAACACCUGCGGCGAAGGCGGGUUGCUGGGCCGACACUGACGCUGAUGCGCGAAAGCCAGGGGAGCGAACGGGAUUAGAUACCCCGGUAGUCCUGGCCUUAAACGAUGGAUGCUUGGUGUCUGGAGUUUUAUAGUCUCCGGGUGCCGUAGCUAACGCGUUAAGCAUCCCGCCUGGGGAGUACGGUCGCAAGACUG
rnacentral:rRNA from 1 species